UUAAAUUUUAUCAAUCACCAAAGGCCACAUAUUCAGCUAAAAAUCUUCUUUGCUGUUCUGCUGAAGAAAAAUACUCAUGAACAUCUUGGGUGGCGUAAGGAUCUUUGCAGGAUUCAGUCGCAUAUCUCGGAUCUGAGUUCUGCACAGCACUGGACACAGACUCUGCACUUUUGACAUUUUCUGGAAAAAAGGAUUUUAAAUUUCACAUCAAGUUAAUUAAAAGUCAUCUGAUGUUUCCACUGCAGUACUUCAGGGCCUUUCAGUCAUCCUGGAGGAUGACCCACAGGAAUUUUACAGGAUGUGUUUCGAUGUGGAUGCAGACUUCAGUCAAGCAGUUGUAGACCUGCUCACAGUUCUACCAGAGGACAUGCCCUCAUUGUGGAUGCAAUAAAGGCAAUCAUGGAGGGAAGAAUUGUCAUGAAUGGGUUUUAAAGGCCUGUAUUUUAUUUUUGCUGUUCUGUUUGCAUGCCAUUCUGAAAAUGCUCUAUUGUUUAACAGUGUUCCAGUGGGUCCAGAUAAUGUUAUGACAACAAAGUGCUGUUUAGUCAAGAAGUCUGUAAAGAGUAUUAUAAGAACACAGAUGUUUUAAAAGCUAAUUUUUAUUAUUGUGAUAUUCUUAAAGUUUUUUACAAAAAUAAACUGUUGAGAAUUUCAAACUUGUAUUAAGUUCAUUUCAUGCUGGUUGAACGAAUAAAAAUACGUUCAGUUUACUUAAAGAAAAUGUGGAAACCGAUUGCACAAAAUGUUUUAAGUUCCCAUAGCUUAAAAUGGCAGAUUAAAUCCAUGUUGAGAAUAACAGCAUUUAAGAUGUUUGCACAACACAAAAUAACACUGCUAGGUAAAUAGAAUUAAUAAAGUAAUCUUACUAUUAAAUCUUAAGUAAGAUUAGUAAA